ensembl:lncRNA
CCUUCUGCUCACCGUCCCUUUUCCUCCGGGCUUAAUGCGCGUCUCGUCACAGCUCUGUCAGCUGACGCAGCCUGGGAAUUUCCCCCGUGUAGUGAAACGGGCUUUAGGUUUAGUGCUCUCCGUCUCUGCUGCAUGAGAUCACUCUUUUGCAGCACUGUUGACAUCCUCAAGUUGUUGUUGUGAGUCCAGCUGCUGUGGCCUUCAGGGGUCAAAGGGUCAAAGAUGGUCGCGGAGAGGGCAACGAUGGUAGAGGGGAGGGUAGGAGUCCAGGUCAGCUUCGGCUCUCAGAAAAAACAAAAACAAAACAAAACAGGCGAACAGGAAAAUGAUGUUGUGUUGGCUGUGCUGUGUUGGCUGUGUUAUCCCGAGAGGGGAGAAACAACGAGAUCUCGUCUCCCCCUUUUUUUUUUUUUUUUUUUUUUUUUUUUUUUUUUUUCCAUAUAAUCAACUCAUAACCCCUCAAGUUGACAGGACAACACAGGUACGUGUUAAAAUUCUUAAGAUCCUGUUUAGAAACCUAAAAAGGAAUUUCCUAUCAUUCAGUAGUCAUUUGUCUUAAACAAUCAACAAAAACAUGUCCCAAGUCGACCCUUUUAACCACUAAAUUUGUCGUGUCCUCACUUAAUCCUCAGACCAGUGUCUUUGUCUUUUGACGUUACGUUGUUGUCCUGCAACCCAAAGCGUUUAAUUGUCAGUAAUGUAUGAACUAUAUCAUUUAAAAACAGGUGUAUGUUAAGUGUCGCUACUUUAACCUUGCAUGUACGUGCACAUGUAUGUAAGCUGUUUCUUCAUUGCAUGUAUGGGUGCGUCUGUAUAUGGGUUACUUUAACUUUUUCUCAAACGAGGCAUGUCUCUAACACGCACAUGUGUCUGUUCCUCACCCUUCUCAUAUCUUUCUCUGGUUGUGUGUGGUUUUAUUUGUUUCAGUGAUUUACCAGGAACAUCUUUUCCUUUUCUCCAUGUCUUCCGCCAGAGGUUAACACCGGUGAGAUUCAGGGACACAGCACCCAGAGCGGUUCAGCAAGAAAAACCCGCCUCAAACUACAUUCUCUCUUUUUUGUUUUACCGGGAGGGGUGAGGACAACUCUGGUGUCCAGCCGUGAAUUUUAGCCAAAGCUUGGCCUGUCUUCUGCUGCCGUACUCAGGCUUCCAGGUUAAGAAAAAACACCUGUAUGAAGACACUAAACAUACAUUUAGUAUUUGUAUAAAC